rnacentral:SRP_RNA from 1 species
AUGCACUAGGUGGGGCGUUAGCGGUGCCUUGUAACCUGCAAUCCGCUAUAGCAGGGCUUAUUACCAAAGGGAGGUUUUCAAAGGGUGUGGCAGUCAUUUGUAAGUGGUGUUGACAAGUGGGUCCUUACGCAAUAAAGCUUUAUGAACGGGUCAGGUCUUGACGGAAGCAGCCAUAAGUAAAAUACUUUAUGUGCCGUGAGAUUGCUUAUUUAGAGCUAACUGCAAAUGUAACGUGCAUUCUUUGUUAAACGACCUUUGGGUGUGCUU